UACGUAGGGUGCAAGCGUUAAUCGGAAUUACUGGGCGUAAAGCGUGCGCAGGCGGUUUUUCAAGACAGAUGUGAAAUCCCCGGGCUUAACCUGGGAAUGGCAUUUGUGACUGGAAGGCUAGAGUGUGUCAGAGGGGGGUAGAAUUCCACGUGUAGCAGUGAAAUGCGUAGAGAUGUGGAGGAAUACCGAUGGCGAAGGCAGCCCCCUGGGAUAACACUGACGCUCAUGCACGAAAGUGUGGGGAGCGAACCGG
rnacentral:rRNA from 1 species